AGUGAACGCUGGCGGUAGGCCUAACACAUGCAAGUCGAACGGCAGCACAGUAAGAGCUUGCUCUUACGGGUGGCGAGUGGCGGACGGGUGAGGAAUACAUCGGAAUCUACUUUUUCGUGGGGGAUAACGUAGGGAAACUUACGCUAAUACCGCAUACGACCUACGGGUGAAAGCAGGGGAUCUUCGGACCUUGCGCGAUUGAAUGAGCCGAUGUCGGAUUAGCUAGUUGGCGGGGUAAAGGCCCACCAAGGCGACGAUCCGUAGCUGGUCUGAGAGGAUGAUCAGCCACACUGGAACUGAGACACGGUCCAGACUCCUAAGGGAGGCAGCAGUGGGGAAUAUUGGACAAUGGGCGCAAGCCUGAUCCAGCCAUACCGCGUGGGUGAAGAAGGCCUUCGGGUUGUAAAGCCCUUUUGUUGGGAAAGAAAAGCAGCAGGUUAAUACCCCGCUGUUCUGACGGUACCCAAAGAAUAAGCACCGGCUAAAUUCGUG
rnacentral:rRNA from 1 species